AUCGUUUCUCCAUCUUUUGGCUAAGAUCAAGUGUACUGUCUGUUCUUACCAGUUUAAUACCUGAUAUGUCCUUUAUCUGAGAACAAUAUAUUAAAUGGAUUUUUGGAAUUAGGAGAUGGAAUAGGAGCUUGCUCCAUCCACUCACACAUUGACCUGGUAUUGCAGUACUUCCAGGAAUGGUGCACCAAAG
rnacentral:snRNA from 1 species